UCUAGGUCCCACCAUUUGCCUGCAGAUUUCAUAAGGAAGGAAUCAUGCUGGCAAGAUGGCUCAGUGGUUAGAGGUGCUUGCUGCCAAGUGUGAUGACCUAGGUUUGAUGCCGAGGACCCAUAUGGGAGGAGAGAAUUGACCACCACAAGUUUUCUUCUGACCUUCAAGUGCAUUUGCUGUGGCAUGUGACGCCCCUUCCAUAAUUAAAUAAAUGGAACAAAAUACUUGAUCUGGAUUUAAAUUUACAAAAUUUCAUUUCAUGUUACUUUUGAAUAGUAGCCAUAGUAUUAUGGAAACUGUAUCAAGGCUGUGACAGAUUUGCUAAGAAGUAAAAGACUGGGAAUGUUUCAUGGGGUGGAUUUGGUACUCAUGUUUUUGGUCAUCUCCAUUUUCAUCGGUACAGGACGUGCAUCCAGUUAUGUAGAGUUGAAGGGGGCAUAUCUAGUAAAAUUUUGACAAUAUUUUGUUAGUAGUUUCACAUUUGUAAAGUGAUUUUUCUAUUAAAUGCUUUAUAAUUGGAGGUUUGAGUUUGUAGAAACAAACUCAAAAGCAACAACAAAAUAAAA